rnacentral:rRNA from 1 species
AGGACGAACGCUGGCGGCGUGCCUAAUACAUGCAAGUAGAACGCUGAAGACUUUAGCUUGCUAAAGUUGGAAGAGUUGCGAACGGGUGAGUAACGCGUAGGUAACCUGCCUACUAGCGGGGGAUAACUAUUGGAAACGAUAGCUAAUACCGCAUAACAGCAUUUAACACAUGUUAGAUGCUUGAAAGGAGCAAUUGCUUCACUAGUAGAUGGACCUGCGUUGUAUUAGCUAGUUGGUGAGGUAACGGCUCACCAAGGCGACGAUACAUAGCCGACCUGAGAGGGUGAUCGGCCACACUGGGACUGAGACACGGCCCAGACUCCUACGGGAGGCAGCAGUAGGGAAUCUUCGGCAAUGGGGGCAACCCUGACCGAGCAACGCCGCGUGAAGUGAAGAAGGUUUUCGGAUCGUAAAGCUCUGUUGUAAGAGAGGAACGCGUGUGAGAGUGGAAAGUUCACACAGUGACGGUAACUUACCAGAAAGGGACGGCUAACUACGUGCCAGCCGCCGC